rnacentral:rRNA from 1 species
UACGGAGGGUGCGAGCGUUGUCCGGAAUCACUGGGCGUAAAGGGCGCGUAGGCGGCCAUGCGUGUCUUCCGUGAAAUCCCUCGGCUUAACUGAGGACGUGCGGAAGAAACUGCAAGGCUCGAGUCCGGGAGAGGGGGGUGGAAUUCCCAGUGUAGCGGUGAAAUGCGUAGAUAUUGGGAGGAACACCGGUGGCGAAGGCGGCCCCCUGGACCGGUACUGACGCUGAGGCGCGAAAGCGUGGGUAGCAAACGGG